GACCAAACUAUAAGAUGAAAGCCUCAGCCUCCCCCUUGACAUUGGUGCACACAUGCACGACGGAUCACCAACGGCAGACUUAGUCAGACUAAAUCUGUUAAGGCCUUUAUACAAGUCUGAAGUCGCAGCUAGCCCUCUGCUUGAAAGUCAUAGAUUCCUUCUUUUAACUUGGACAACCUGGUCGAAGGGCAAGCUAACGUGGGCGUCUACACGAGCUCUGUACCGAGGCUCCCUCGUGUAGAAGAAGGAGGAUGUGCGGUAAGGUGAGGAGAAGGAAGAAGUGGAACGACGUAGGUGUUGGUCGUUGCUGUCAAAGUCGAAGGAUAUGUUACCGAAGAGCCCACAGUUGGAGUGGGAGCUGCCGUUGCGGUUGCAGUGCGGCCUACCCGAGGAGCUCGAGUGGUUGCUGUGGUAGUUGGAGCCGGUGCGGAAGAUGGGCUGGGGCGACUCGGACGCGCCCAGCGGGUUGCCGUGCCACGCCAGGAAGAGGGAGUCGAAGCGCAAGCGGUAGGAGAGGCAGGUGCUCCCGUAGUCGCGGCUGCCGUACCGGAAGAAGCAGCGGGGGUGGUUCUUGGAGAGGUUGUGCACCCGCGUCAUGUACCCGGAGGAGUUGUCGCCGUUGUUGCCGUUGCGGUCGUUGGUGUACAAGCGGCAGCUCGAGCUGUGGUGGGUCUUGCUCCUCAAGGUUCUGUACCUGUUGUUGGUGCAGCCGUAGCUGUAGUUGUCGGAGUGGAGGAACGUCCGGAUGGCGUGGCCCAUGAUGCUACUUCCCUCGCCUAGGAAGUUGUUGGACUGGGAAUAGUCACCGUUCCGCUACGUCCAUACCCGACUGAUACUACCCCUCAGGUGCGUCUAGUUGCACAAGAACCGAGGAGAGCCUAAGCGAUUCGGCCUCUCCGGUGACGAAAGCAGGGGGAUAUUGGAGAGGUGUCAAGACUCUCUUGGUAGCAUGUAGCCGAAGCGUCGGUGUUGGCCGCGUUAGUCGUGUUAGGUGACGCAAGAGCCGACCUCGAAACGGUAAUUACCGGGACGAGGACGGUAACUGUGUAGGUUCGAGGGUUUCGAUGGUGCAGAACCAGGUCUCGGCGCGAGGUUCCAGGACCUCUAGUGGGACGGAUAACGGUGCCGGUACAAGCAGGAACAUCACCCUUGACAAUAGUAAGACCAACAAGCGUUUUCUAAGUCCAUGUCCCUCGACGCCCUUCUGACCCUCCAGCUAAAGCCCGGUGUAGCCAAGAGGAAGUUCCUGGACAAGGUACGUUGGCUUCCCAAGUUCCUUUUCUUGGACGAACCACACCCGCCCAAGCCGUUCCAUAUGUUUCCCUGUGAGGCUUUCAGGUUUGACUUUCACCGCCACUUCUCUCACAGAGUGCUCAGUUCCGUUCCCUACUUCCUCAAGUAGCGCCUCCAACAGUCAUAGCCGGCCGAGUCUGUGGCGUUGGAACACGGGGACGAACCAAUAACGGCUGCAUUUCCACUUGAAGAAAACCAAAUACUGAUGUACAGUUUACCAUCGGAGUUAGUCAUAGACAUGACACUUCUACCGUUCGGUAGUGACUUAACCCUCCUCUCCAAGGUAUAAUAGUUCCCGCAGCGUAAGCCGAACAAGAUGGAAGUGCUCUUCACCCUCUUUCAACAGUAUGUGGCUCUGCAAUUCGGCUCGUUGCACGAAGACCUGUCACUUUACUUACGUUCUGAUCCACUGAAACCAGAGAGUUCCGACAUGCUGGUACCGUGACUAGGUGUUUGGUGUGUAUACCAACCUUGGUACCCUAUGGACCGCGGACUCAUGCAGGUGUGCCCGUUCCGUAGGUGAGACUGCCUGUACAAACGUAAGCCGUAUAAAGAGGAACUCCAGUGAAGACCCGUCUCCGGAUAGUUCGUCUUGGGUAAACCGUUGUUUGUAUGUAACCAACUGACCCAAUAUCUCGCGACCGUGUUGCCUAGCGAGUACCUCUGACACCUAGGCUCUGACGCCCCACUGAUGUUGUAGCUACUACGUAGAAACCACGACUUCGAUCCCGAAGAUACGAGCGUGGGAAAAUGAUCGCGUUCCGGGUGUUACGCUGUACAGUACGUCAUGGAGCUUCCACUAUGUGGUGAGGGUCUCGAUUGUGGUCGUGUAAAGUCGAAGUGAUACGUCCGGAACUGCGUUUUGUCUCCUAACCUUAGUGGUUUACACGUCAUAGGAGUCAAUAGCUGCUCAAAACGGUGAAAAAGGUCGGAGAGUCCUCCUUCUAUUGUGUACGUAUAUGCCACAAACCACAAUAACACAGAGAAGUCUACAAUUUUAUAGACGAAAGAAAGAACGCAUAAAUCAGACCUAUCUAUGAUAUAAGAUUACAUAAGCUUGCGAUCGAUCCCUCAUAUAGUUUCUAAAUGAAGUGAAGUUUACAAUGAGACAUACAGAUACAAGUCGAAUUAAUGAGUACCUCAAUUAAUUAGUUAGAAGACAUAGAAGAUGUACCAAGGUCAGACUUACAUCAUGUACACUUAAGUACUUAAAAUG
rnacentral:rRNA from 1 species